AACCUAAUCGUCGUCGUCCUUCAAAUCAUGGUGGUGAUGGUGGUAAUAAUAAUUGAUGAUUGAGGAUCAAUUUUUCAAAAUUUUCUGCUUGAUACUAAAAAAAUAAUUCAAAUUUUAUUAUUAGACAAAUGACAUAAAUGAUCCAAUUAGAAGUAUGUUUGUCAACAAAAGAAUACAAAAUUCUAAUAUUGAUUAAUUAAUUUAAAUUACCAUUUACUGUUUUAUUAAUUAAAUAAUUUACUAAUUUAAUUAUAAAAAUUAUAAAAUUUUGUUUUGUUUAUAUUUCUAAUAAAUUUUUUAUAGAUCUCCUAAUAUUUUAUGUUUCACAUCUAUGAUAGCAUCAUAAUAUCUUGAUGGUCUAAGGUCUACAUUAUAUAUUACUGUACCAGAAUAUAAUAUGAACCAUUUAUUAUUUAAUAUUAAAUAAUUGUUUUCACAAAUUAAGUUAAAUAAUUAUUGUUACUAUUAUAAAAUUAUCUCAAUAAAUUAUUCUGUAA